UGAGGAAUAUUGGUCAAUGGGCGGUAGCCUGAACCAGCCAAGUAGCGUGCAGGAUGACGGCCCUAUGGGUUGUAAACUGCUUUUAUAUGGGAAUAAAGUGAGGGACGUGUCCCUUAUUGCAUGUACCAUAUGAAUAAGGACCGGCUAAUUCCGUGCCAGCAGCCGCGGUAAUACGGAAGGUCCAGGCGUUAUCCGGAUUUAUUGGGUUUAAAGGGAGCGUAGGCUGUUUGUUAAGCGUGUUGUGAAAUGUAAGAGCUCAACUUUUAGAUUGCAGCGCGAACUGGCAGACUUGAGUGCGCACAACGUAGGCGGAAUUCAUGGUGUAGCGGUGAAAUGCUUAGAUAUCAUGACGAACUCCGAUUGCGAAGGCAGCUUACGGGAGCGCAACUGACGCUAAAGCUCGAAGGUGCGGGUAUCGAACAGG
rnacentral:rRNA from 1 species